rnacentral:misc_RNA from 1 species
GAUGAAGAACGUAGCGAAAUGCGAUAAGUAGUGUGAAUUGCAGAAUUCAGUGAAUCAUCGAAUCUUUGAACGCACAUUGCGCCUUCUAGUAUUCUGGGAGGCAUGCCUGUUUGAGCGUCAUUAAACCUCUCUCAAGUAUGAUUACUUGGAUGUGAAGGAAGAGUACCUUAAACUUAAGGAGUGUUCUCCUUUGAAAUUGAUUAGCAGAUGGUAAUGUUAUUAAAUCCCCGAUGUUGUAAGAAAUAACAGUGGUUUUGUAGACUAUUAUCUAGCUUUAAAUUAUAAUUUUUAUUAUGGUUGACCUCAAAUCAGGUAAGGAUACCCGCUGAACUUAAGCAUAUCAAUAAGCGGAGGA